rnacentral:rRNA from 1 species
ACAAUGGAGAGUUUGAUCCUGGCUCAGGAUGAACGCUAGCGGCAGGCCUAAUACAUGCAAGUCGAGCGGCA